rnacentral:rRNA from 1 species
AACGAACGCUGGCGGCGCGCCUAAUACAUGCAAGUCGAGCGAGAAGACGUAGCAAUACGUUUGUAAAGCGGCGAACGGGUGAGGAAUACAUGGGUAACCUACCCUCGAGUGGGGAAUAACUAGCCGAAAGGUUAGCUAAUACCGCGUACGCUCCUUGGACUUCGGUUCAGGGAGGAAAGCGAUACCGUGGGUAUCGCGCUCUUGGAUGGGCUCAUGUCCUAUCAGCUUGUUGGGAGGUAACGGCUCACCAAGGCUUCGACGGGUAGCUGGUCUGAGAGGACGAUCAGCCACACUGGCACUGCGACACGGGCCAGACUCCUACGGGAGGCAGCAGUAAGGAAUAUUGCGCAAUGGGCGAAAGCCUGACGCAGCGACGUCGCGUGGGGGGAUGAAGGUCUUCGGAUUGUAAACCCCUUUCGGGAGGGAAGAUGGAAUGGGGUAACCCAUUCGGCGGUACCUCCAGAAGCAGCCACGGCUAACUUCGUGCCAGCAGCCG